rnacentral:lncRNA from 1 species
UAAUGUUCAAAUCCUCAUAUAAAUCCAGCAAAAUACUAAUAAUUAUCACAAUGAUAGAAAAUCCCAAGAAGAAUUAGAAAAGUUGGAGUUUAGGCCUCGUUCUACGUUGGAAUCUCUAUCAGAGUGUAAACCCUCGUUACCAAUAUGAAAAUACGUAAAAAAAAGUAAUGAAUGAUACUUCUAACACCAGUUAGAAAUUGUUUUUAAUUAAUUACAACCCUUAAAAUUAGAAAUUAAAAUAAACAGCUCGGCAGCAUCAGGCACUGCGCGCCCCUAGUUUCC